UUUGUGGACAAGAUUUUUCUGAUUUUAGAUUUCAUUUUGACAAAAAUGCUGUAGAUAGGUUGACGGGACUGAUAAUGAAAGGUUACGCCAAUGUUCUGCGCAUACAGUUGCUGCUUUUUGGUGCGCACACACCCCAGGCACUCCAUCUCGUCAACGCCUGAGAAGUUGGUGAAAGUGCCUCCUGCCAGACUUGCUGGAUGGCUACUACCUGCACUUGCUAGCUGAACUGAAGCUCUUCCAACUAGCUGGCAUGGCUCUCGGCAGCUUGGCUUACGCGUGGGACGCUGCAGACGCAAUCAUCGCCAGCCUCACACAUGUCGAAAAUCAGGCAGACUACAUCAGCUGCUCACUGAUAUGGGCCAAAGAAGGCUCGUUGCUGGCGGUGGUUCUGGAGACAACGGUUCGAUCCAUCUGUAGGACGUCACUCGGCAAGAAGUUGUGGAGUGUGAUGGUCAUCCACGCGGCGCGCGUAUCCAGUCACGUUGUCCAGAAACGAUCACAUUAUCUCCAGGUCACUCCGUGACUUGCCGGCGCUCGAGCUGACGGUGUCGCCUGAACGAAUGCUUCACGGCGACAAGUGCUGCCACCGCCUGAGACCAUCCGACUCCGAAAAGCUGAUUGCCGGGCACGAACAAGAGGCUACAGGCAUUUGGGUGCAACACCUGCUCCGAGUGCCCUGUUCUGAGGCGUCAUCCGAAGAAGGCCGCAUAGUGCACUUAAGGCUGUGUUCGGGUGUAGUGCACUGCACUGUCGGAUAGGAUCAAAUGGCAGGCCCGUCAUAAGAUCUCAGUACGAAAUUAAGAUAGUGAGAGCCGACGUGAUCGGUGGAUGGUGUGCCAGGGUUGAUUGAGCGUCCAUGAGCGUGAGACACCUGGAUCUGUGAAGGAUACGCCGAUACGUGUCCCGGAUUCGACCCCCCUCCCCCUCCGUCUCAACGGUGUUGGCUGAGAUUGGGGUAUUUUUACGGACUCGCCAAUGUCCUGCAAUUUCUGUUAUGUAAUUUGACGAUCAUGCC